rnacentral:rRNA from 1 species
AUACGGAGGGGCUAGCGUUGUUCGGAAUUACUGGGCGUAAAGCGCACGUAGGCGGAUUAAAAAGUUAGAGGUGAAAUCCCAGGGCUUAACCCUGGAACUGCCUUUAAAACUAGUAGUCUAGAGUUCGAGAGAGGUGAGUGGAAUUCCAAGUGUAGAGGUGAAAUUCGUAGAUAUUUGGAGGAACACCAGUGGCGAAGGCGGCUCACUGGCUCGAUACUGACGCUGGGGUGCGAAAGCGUGGGGAGCAAACAGGAUUAGAAACCCCAGUAGUCC